rnacentral:rRNA from 1 species
UACGUAGGGUGCAAGCGUUAAUCGGAAUUACUGGGCGUAAAGCGUGCGCAGGCGGUGAUGUAAGACAGGUGUGAAAUCCCCGGGCUUAACCUGGGAACUGCAUUUGUGACUGCAUCGCUGGAGUGCGGCAGAGGGGGAUGGAAUUCCUGGUGUAGCAGUGAAAUGCGUAGAUAUCAGGAGGAACACCGAUGGCGAAGGCAGCACUCUGGGACGUGACUGACGCUGAGACGCGAAAGCGUGGGGAGCAAACAGG